rnacentral:rRNA from 1 species
GCCAGUAGUCAUAUGCUUGUCUCAAAGGUUAAGCCAUGCACGUCUUAGUACGAAUUUGUUAACAAAAUGAAACCGCGAACGGCUCAUUAGAUCAGUCUCGAUCCGUCGGACCAUGUCCGAACCCUCGGUUUGGAUAACUGUGGAAAUCCUAGAGCUAAUACAUGCAAUCGAGCCGCGAGCCCCGAGCGAUCGGGCGCGAACGGCGCAGUUAUUAGGAAUCAAGACCGACAGGGUAGUGGUGGCGGCUUCGGUCGUUCAUCGCCCCUUCCACCUUUGGUGACUCUGGGUAGCAGUGCGGAUCGCACGCCCUUCGAGGCGGCGACGGGUCCGGCGAAUGUCUGCCCUAUCAGGUGACGUAGGUAGGCGAUCGGCCUACCUAGCCUAUGACGGGUGACGGGGAAUCUGGGUUCGAUUCCGGAGAGCUAGCCUGAGAAACGGCUAUCACAUCCAAGGAAGGCAGCAGGCGCGCAAAUUACCCACUCCCGGCACGGGGAGGUAGUGACAAGGAAUAACAAUACGGGACUCUAUCGAGGCCCCGUAAUUGGAAUGAGAGCAUUCUAAAAACCUCAACGAGGAACCAUCGGAGGGCAAGUCUGGUGCCAGCAGCCGCGGUAAUUCCAGCUCCGAUAGCGUAUAUUAAAGUUGUUGCAGUUAAAAAGCUCGUAGUUGGAUCUCGGGAGUGGGUGUGGCGGUGCCGGCCGGUGUGCUUCGCGCAGCCGGCUUCCAGGCACUGCCCGUCGCCGCCUCCCUGCUCGCCGGUUGGGCCGGGGUGCCCUUCGCCAGGUGUCCCGGCUCCGGCCGGCGCUUAUACUUUGAGAAAAUUAGAGUGCUCAAGGCAGGCCCGUCAGAGGCCCCUGAAUAUCUAUGCAUGGAAUAAUAGGAUAGGACCUCGGAUCCCGUUCUGUUGGCCACUCGAACGCGAGGUGAUUAAGAGGGACGGACGGGGGCAUCCGUAUCGCGGGGUUAGAGGUGAAAUUCUUGGAUCCUCGCGAGACGAACGACAGCGAAAGCAUUUGCCAAGAACGUUUUCAUUAAUCAAGAACGAAAGUCAGAGGUUCGAAGACGAUCUGAUACCGUCGUAGUUCUGACCCUAAACGAUGCCGACCGGCGUUCCGCCGCGCGUCGCUCACACAGACGACCCGGCGGGCAGCCCCCGGGAAACCUCGAGUCUUCGGGCUCCGGGGGAAGUAUGGUUGCAAAGCUGAAACUUAAAGGAAUUGACGGAAGGGCACCACAAGGAGUGGAGUCUGCGGCUUAAUGCGACUCAACGCGCGAAAUCCUACCAGGUCAGUACUCCGCCAGGAUUGACAGAUUGAGAGCUCUUUCUUGAUUCGGUGGGUGGUGGUGCAUGGCCGUUCUGGUGGAGCGAUCUGUCUGGUUAAUUCCGAUAACGAACGAGACUCUAGCCUGCUAAAUAGACUUCUUAGAGGGAUGUGUGGUGUUCAGCCACGUGAGAUUGAGCAAUAACAGGUCUGUGAUGCCCUUAGAUGUCCUGGGUCGCACGCGCGCUACACUGAAGGGAUCAGCUGGCGUCUACCCGGCCCGAGAGGGUCGGGCAACCCGGUGAACCCCCUUCGUGCUAGGGAUCGGGGCUUGCAAUUCUUCCCCGUGAACGAGGAAUUCCUAGUAGGCGCCAGUCACCAACUGGCGCCGAUUGCGUCCCUGCCCUUUGUACACACCGCCCGUCGCUACUACCGAUUGGAUGGUUUAGUGAGAGCCACGGAUUGGUCCCGGACCGGGGUGGUUCGCCGUCUCGUCCGUCGGCGCCGAGAAGUCGUUCGAACUUGAUCAUCUAGAGG